UCUGAGCCUGUGUGAACUGAGGCUGCUCCUUACACUGGGUCUUCCCCAGCACCUGCUGAGACCCCUGCCGACCUGCAGGGGAAGGAGGGCGAGGAAAACAGAGAGCUUGCAUCUGACAUCAUAGAUCACAAGGGAUUCAGCUCUGGUAACUACCAAGGAAGUUUUCCUUCUUUAAAGAGUAGCCUCUGUUGACUCACAAACCUUCUGUGGAGCAACAGAAGAAGCAAUGAGUUCAAUGAUCUGAAGUUCAGAAGCAGUGUAACUUCGCCUCUGGGAAGACGGCCCUGUGGAAAUGUCCUGUGGGGGCAGAUGCCCCAGACUUGAGGGAUGAGCUUUCCUGACCUUGUUCUGCAUCGUGAGGCCAUGAAAUGGCACUAGCGCUGGGAUGUGAGAGAGAAGACCUGGAUUUCAAUCUUGACUUCGCCAUCCCCCGCUGUUGACCUCUUAGGGACUCAAUUUCUUCAUGGAUAAGCUGG